rnacentral:lncRNA from 1 species
CAGUGGCAUUGGCAGCAUAUAAAUGGUAUAUACAAUAAGAGCUGUAGGAUUUAUAAGUAGACUGUCAUGGGAUAGUAUGGUGGAGAAGGUUUCAUAGAGGAGAUGGGGACAGGAACUGAGACUUGAACUAUGACGAGGCAUGAGCUAGGCUGCAAAGAGGCAUGAGGCCAUUCCAAGCAGAAAGUAAAAACGGAGAAAUAGUCAUGAGCAUUGUACCAGGGGGGAAUGUGAGGAGGCUGGCAUUGUAGAAGGAAAUAUAUACUUGAGGAUUGGAUUUGGAUUAUGGGCAGGCAGGAUUGCAAAGGUAAUUUGAAGUUAGAGUACUGUUAGCAAAUAACAAAAAGGGACUUUCCCAUGUAUAACAGCCAGGAGGAAAGGGAUAACAUUAUACCUGAAGUCGUUUAUCUGGAAUUCCCUUGGGGUGCAUGUGUCACUCAAAAGUAUGAGUGCUCUUAAGUUCUCCUUGCUCAUGACCACCAGUACACCACAGAGGAAAAUCUACACUAUAUACAUUCUGGGGAGCUGAGACGUGAGAAGAAACACCAGGAACUAUAAAACAGUGCUAGGUAUUCUUAGACCUAAUUCUAAUUUUGUUACUCAUCAUUUUUCUGUGAAGGCACUAAGUUCAACUUUGAAAAAAAAAAGUUCCCUGUUCAACUUUUGGGGACAGAAAAGUUAAAGAGCAUCCAAAAAGAUGACAACUUACAUCUCCUUGAUACCUGCUGGAUGCUGGGAGGAGACACAGGAGCAUGAAUAGGACAGAAUAGAUUAUAAAGGAGAAAUUGAACAGGAGAUGAGAGCAUUCAAGAGCUCCAUUCAAAAUUAUGAAACAUGAUUUUCUAUUUGAUACUAUUCUUCUUUCAUUUAUUCAUUCAACAGAUGACAAAGUUCAAUGAUAAUCAUUCUUUGAAGUUUAUCUACCCAAACUGGAGCCAUGUCAAAAGACUCCUUGAAGAAUGAUUGCUGGGGAAGAAAUCAAUGGCAUCAACAGAAAGAACAAAGACAGAAAAUGUAAAAGGCAAGGGGAAAAGAAAAAGAAAGACAUAAAAAUUUAAGAAAAAAGAGGCAAAAGAAAACUAAAAAAAUAGAGACUAGGCUUCUUUAAUGGCUCCAACAGAAAUUAAAAAAAAAAAAAAAAAAACUACAUCUGCCUUUUGCUUUUGAAUAAAUAGAACAUUUUACCAAUAAUGCCAAGAUGACUCACAACACACAUUUUAUGUAUCUUGUAAUUUUCCUAUACACUGCAAAGACAACAUAGUUGAGCUAAUACUAGCGAAGUCUUACAUGUAAUUAUAGGAUGCCUAUAGCAUUUCUAGUAUAAUAUAUUAAUGAAAACCAGUUAUUUAAUUAUGGCAUAAUAUCAUGAAAAGCUUUUAUAGUCACUUGCUAAAACAGACCAAAAAAACAUUUUCCCAAAUAUAGCUGAGGAACAGUAGAAUCGUAUCUUGAUGUCAGUAGAUGCCUUUGCCGGGGUGUAGAAACAGCUUCUCCUGUCAUUAAAAGGACAAACUGUAAUCCAUCUGCCAUGUAUAAUUUGACAAUCUGCAAUCUUUAAACAGUAGGAGGGAAAGACAUGUCUUCCAAAAUUUCCCCUGAAGGAGGAGGCUUUCAGCAGUUCCCAAUUACUAUCUAGGCCUAAUGUCUCACUUGAGACAUCUGCUCAGCAGUUAGUAGUGAAAACCUGGCAUACAGGAGAUCAGAGGUGUGCCUCAUAAUUAUUGUUGGCCUUUAAAUGGCCAACUUUUAGAAUAUGAGCCAAUCACUAAGCUUCAGGUGUGCAUUUUGGCAACCUUUGGUGGGGUGCCAGUAUAAACCCCCAGAUCUAACUUUUGUUCACAUAAACUUCUGAGAUGAUAAUCUUUCUAAAGUUCAAGGUGGAAAAAUUCACUGUGAAGUGAGUCUGGGUUCAGUAAUGAGCCAAAGAUCUUAACACAUUUCUACUGAUAAUAGAAGAAUGAAAAUCAUAGAAUGCCAUAGAUCCAUGUUUCCUGCAGAUAAGGAUUGCUUUCUUGGGACCCAUUUCAGCUCAUUACAUUUAUUAAGUCAACUAAAAAUCUUUCCUGGCACUGGUUCAGAAUGCACAAAGCUGUUGUCUACAAAAACCUACUUUAGUUACCACGUGGGUGUUUUCCCAGGUAGGGGUGAUUUUAAAGGGAAAAUAAGAAAAUGGAAAAUUCCAUUUUGCAGAUUUAGGCUUACCUUCUGAAAUCUUGAGAAUGCUGGGUGAGAUUUAAGACAGACUCUGUCGUUCUAUCAUCAGAGAAAUGCAAAUCAAAACCGCAAUGAGAUACUAUCUCACACCAGUCAGAAUGGCUUUUGAUAAAGAGUCAAAAAAUAACAGAUGUUGGCAAGGCUGUGGAGAAAAGGGUGAACUGAUACUCUGUUGCAAUGUAAAUUAGUCCAGCCACUGUGGAGGGGGCAGUUUGGAGAGUUUGGAAAGAAGUGAGAGUUGAACUGCCAUUCAAACCAGCAAUUCCAUUACUAGAUAGGUCUGGAUGUCUGGAAAAUAAAUUGCUGUACCAAAAGGAAACAUGCACCUGUAUGUUCACUGCAGCACUAUUCACAAUAGCAAAAACGUGGAAUCAACCCAGUUGCCCAUCAACAGUGGAAUGAAUUAAAAAAAUGUGGUACAUGUACACCAUGGAAUACUAUGUAGCCAUAAAUAAGAAUAAAAUCAUGUCAUUUGCGGCAAUAUGGAUAUAGCUGGAGGUCAUUAUCCUAAGUGAAUGAAUGUAAAAAAAGAAAACCAAACGCUGCAUGCUCUUAUUUAUAAAUGGGAGCUAAACAUUGAGUACUAAUGGACUUAAAGAUGGGAAUAAUAGACACUGGGGACUACUAAAGGGUGUGAGAGAGGGAGGGGGGAAGGGCUGAGAAACUACCCAUCGGGUAUUAUGCCCACUACCUGUGUGACAGGCUCAGUCAUACUCCAAACCCCAGCACCACACAAUAUACCUUUGUAACAAACCUGCACAUGUACGUCCUGAUUCCAAAAUAAAAGUUGGAAAAGAAAAUAAAAAAGAUGAACUCUUUGCAGAAAAGCAACGAGCUGAAAGGUACAAAUAACAGUAUUGUUAAUGGGGAAAAGAACCAGUUGAUGCUUUCUUCAUGUGCAACGGUGAGAUUGUUUCAAAACAAGUAGCAUCUGCAAGCAUCCCUUCCCAACAGCCAAAAGACCCAAUCAGGGAGGGGAAAAUGACAACCAAAUGUAAUAUGGGAUCCUAGAUUGGACCUCAGAGAAGAAAAAGGGCACUAGUAGAAAAACAAAUAAAAUCUGAAUAAAUUCUAUAGUUUAGUUAGUGGUAAUUCUACUAUGUUUGUGCAAGAUGCCAAUAUUAAGGGAAGCUGGGUGAAGGGUGGAUAGGAUCUUUCUGUAUCAUCUUUGCAACACUUUUGCAAAUCUAAAAUUACUUUGAAAUAAAAAGUUAAAAGAAAGCAGAGUCAGUUCAGUAGGAAAAUUAGUCCCUGUGCUAAACACUAUUUGCCAGUGGAAAGCCAAAUCAACAUGCGAAUAGUUGUUAUUUUGAACUAUUAUGGAAUUAUGGAAUUAUAAAAUUUCAAUUAUUGUGGAAAAUGUAUUAAUGCUGAAUUAGGUGUUUCUUUUUUAUUAUUAUUAAUUGUAUAAAUGAGAGAACCAAGGCAAGAGCUGUGAAGUGACUUCCUUAGGAAUUGACAUUUAAUUACAUGGAGAGCUGGGAAAAAUGCCUAGAUUUUGUGCUUCUUUGUCCAAUGUCACAGGCAUAACCUAAGUAGCAUGUUACUUCUCUGAAAUCAACAACCAAUUCCUAAAUGAGAAACAAGCAUCUAAUGUGUUCAAAGCACUGUGCUAGACUCUGAAAAUAUAUGGUGCUCUCUCUGUCCAUGAUGAAGUCUAUAUUUGUAGCUAUGUCUCUUUAAAAUUCUCACAGUGUAGCUGAGAAGGCAUAUGCACUGAUAACUGAAGCUUUAUAAUAACCUUUAUAAAACCAGUCGGCACUAAACAUUUUAUGUUAAAUGAGCAAUUUUGACGAUAAUUGUCAAAAAUUAUAGUUUAAGUAGAAAUUAUUAUACAACAAAACUCUUUACUGAAAAAAGUUAACCUUGUGUUGUUCCUCCAUAUAUCAGCUCUGAAAGCAUACAGAACUCUGAGCUGGCAGGAGGGCAGAGGAAAUACUGACUCAAUUUGUUACCACUAUGUCCUUCUCUGACUCCUUGCACGUAAUGUAGAGGAUUGUGGUGGUAACGGGAAGAGGCUUUCCAUACUUCCUUUGGACAAGAUGCCUUUGCCCCUUUCUGUAUUUUUUCCAGGGAAUGUUACCUCAAGGGAAAUGUAAGGAGGUUAUUCAUGUCAGAAACAGUGUUCUAAAAGUACAAUGCAAGUAAAAGAUAUUGUCUGGAAAGGGAGCAAAGAAGUUAAAGAAGGAAAGAUGAACAGCCUGCGCAAAUAGUGAAAUGAGAGAGUUUCGUAUGUUUCCAUGAUUUUAAUUGUGGAAAACGUGGAAGGGGUGAGUUGAAGUUGUCUCAUCAGUGGCUUUGAUUGUAGCAAUUUGUAUCCUAAAAGCAAGCCUUUCUGAACAGGCAGGACCUGGCAGCAGAAUUGCAGAGUACAUGUUGCCAAGUGCAUAAAUAAGUUUAUUUUCCAACUUUUGUCAACAUCAAGCCAUCACAAUUUUCUUUUUUUUCUUCAAGAAAUCAAAGGUUAUUAUAAAGCCUUCGUAGACCAACCCCAGCUCGCCAUCAGGUCUUUAUUUUCUUCAGGCUCAUCUUACAUUCAUCCUAGGGCAGUAAUUUAACAUGUAUUAUGAGUUGCUUGACAAUCCUAGAUUUUUCAUUCAGACACAAUGUUUCCUUGAGAAUUCUAGAAUGAUAGUCAACCUGGUAUAAGAUUCUGUAGUAACACAUCAAUUUUUCCUGAAAAGCAAAUGCCAGUCUUAUUAUGCUCCACAGGAGAUCAGAUAUUGUUUGAAGGCAGUGCUGGGUCUUCAGUGGCUUUGUAACCCACCCAUCCCUUGACACUGUUUUCUCAACAGUAAGUGUUUAAUAAAUCUUAACUGACUGGCUCACUGAGUAAAUGAAUAAAUGAGUGAUUUGUUGAAUGAGUUAAAUAAAUGAUUUCACAUAAAUCAUUGUUAACAAUGCC